GGAAGGCCCAGUCCUUGCCCAAAAGACUGUGUGGUCUGAGAAGACAGAUGACACACAAAGGGCAGGAGAAAGAAAGAUACUCCAGCACAGGCAAUUCUGAAACCCAUCUCUGCAUGAUAAGGAGCACCUAGAAACCCCAGCCAGGAUCAGGGCUACAUUAUGCUGAGCCCUGCACACUCUCAGGAGGACACGGCCCUUCCCUGAAGAACUUACAGUUUAAUAGAAGACAAUGCAUUUACAACACAACAGCUCCAAGCACAAUGAAGGGAAGGAAGCAACUGUAUGUAUUGCAGCUAGACACUGCUUCAAAGGAACAUCUUCAUAGCUGCAGCCCUGUGACCUGAAGGAGCUGAGAGCAGCCAGGGCUUGCUGCAAUUGCCAUAGGACAUUUGUUUUCCCUUUGAAGGAGAACAGGUGUAAAAUAAAAUAAAGG